rnacentral:rRNA from 1 species
AUUGAACGCUGGCGGCAUGCUUUACACAUGCAAGUCGAACGGCAGCGCGGGCUUCGGCCUGUCGGCGAGUGGCGAACGGGUGAGUAUUGCAUCGGAACGUUCCCAGUCGUGGGGGAUAGCCCGGCGAAAGCCGGAUUAAUACCGCAUACGACCUGAGGAGGAAAGCGGGGGACCGAAAGGCCUCGCUCUAUUGGAGCGGCCGAUGUCGGAUUAGCUAGUUGGUGGGGUAAAGGCUUACCCAGGCGCCGAUCCGUAGCUGGUCUGAGAGGACGACCAGCCACACUGGGACUGAGACGCGGCCCAGACUCCUACGGGAGGCAGCAGUGGGGAAUUUUGGACGAUGGGGGCAACCCUGAUCCAGCCAUGCCGCGUGCGGGAAGAAGGCCUUCGGGUUGUAACCCGCUUUUGUUCGGGAAGAAAUCCUCUGGGCUAAUACCCCGGGGGGAUGACGGUACCGGAAGAAUAGGCAGGGGCUACUUACG